rnacentral:rRNA from 1 species
AGAGUUUGAUCAUGGCUCAGGACGAACGCUGGCGGCGCGCCUAAUACAUGCAAGUCGAGCGAGAACCAGGGCUUGCCCUGGGGAGAGCGGCGAACGGGUGCGUAUCACGUGAGCAACCUGCCUCAGAGACCGGGAUAACUCGAGGAAACUCGGGCUAAUACCGGAUGCCCUCGGUGGACCGCAUGGUCCGGCGAGGAAAUGGAUUCCGCUCUGAGAUGGGCUCGCGGCCUAUCAGCUUGUUGGUGGGGUAACGGCCUACCAAGGCAACGACGGGUAGCUGGUCUGAGAGGACGAUCAGCCACACUGGGACUGAGACACGGCCCAGACUCCUACGGGAGGCAGCAGUAGGGAAUCUUGCGCAAUGGGGGAAACCCUGACGCAGCGACGCCGCGUGCGGGAUGAAGGCCUUCGGGUCGUAAACCGCUUUCAGCAGGGACGAAAUUGACGGUACCUGCAGAAGAAGGCCCGGCCAACUACGUGCCAGCAGCCGCGGUGAUACGUAGGGGUCUAGCGUUGUCCGGAAUCAUUGGGCGUAAAGAGCUCGUAGGCG